rnacentral:rRNA from 1 species
AUUGAACGCUGGCGGCAGGCCUAACACAUGCAAGUCGAGCGGAGCGGCGGACGGGUGAGUAAUGCCUAGGAAUCUGCCUGGUAGUGGGGGAUAACGUCCGGAAACGGGCGCUAAUACCGCAUACUAUCAUAGAAGCCUAGGUCGGAUUAGCUGUUGGGUGGGGUAAAGGCCUACCAGGGCUUCGAUCCGUAACGGGUCUGGGAGGAUGAUCAGUCACACGGGAACUGAGACACGGUCCAGACUCCUACGGGAGGCAGCAGUGGGGAAUAUUGGACAAUGGGCGAAAGCCUGAUCCAGCCAUGCCGCGUGUGUGAAGAAGGUCUUCGGAUUGUAAAGCACUUUAAGUUGGGAGGCGUUACCAACAGAAUAAGCACCGGCUAACUUCGUGCCAGCAGCCGCGGUAAUAC